rnacentral:rRNA from 1 species
AUUGAACGCUGGCGGCAGGCCUAACACAUGCAAGUCGAACGAGUGGCGGACGGGUGAGUAAUGUCUGGGAAACUGCCUGAUGGAGGGGGAUAACUACUGGAAACGGUAGCUAAUACCGCAUACCAUCAGAUGUGCUCAGAUGGGAUUAGAUAGUUGGUGAGGUAACGGCUCACCAAGGCGACGAUCCCUAGCUGGUCUGAGAGGAUGACCAGCCACACUUGAACUGAGACACGGUCCAGACUCCUACGGGAGGCAGCAGUGGGGAAUAUUGCACAAGGGGCGCAAGCCUGAUGCAGUCAUGCCGCGUGUAUGUAGAAGGCCUUCGGGUUGUAAAGUACUUUCAGCGGGGAGGCGUUACCCGAAGAAGAAGAGCCGGCUAAGUCCGUGACAGCAGCCGCGUUAAUAC